AGCUGGAAGCUGAAGGCGCCAUGAUUGUUAGGUAAACAACGCGUUCCGCUUUCAGUCUU
rnacentral:pre_miRNA from 2 species